UUUCUGCAACCCCAUUAGAUAUGUCUAAGAGUCACAUACAGUGCUUGAAACAUUAUAAACAUGUCGAUAAAGGGACAGCACAAAUUGACCUGGAGGACGUAUAGGGCAACCUAGCCUAGCUAGUACUCGGUGCAUAGUGAAUUAGACCUUCAGAUCAGGGCAACCCAGCCUAUAGCCAGGGCAAUACGAAACCAUUUACGCUGAUUGGUCAAUAUAACUCAGGUCAUUUUCCCAAGCUACGAAUGUUAAACACGUCGAUACAGGUUAGACAUCCAGGUAUUAAGAUACAUAAGAUAACAUCAGUCAGCUUGUGUAGCUGAACAGAGCUGAUACAGUAGCUUUGCCAUAUACGUAAUUUCACCGUUAUUUUCUCAUUUCAUGUUCUCCGCCAGGAUGCUGGAGUGUUCAAGCAGAACUAGAACCCUGUGACGCUAGCCGUCGACCUAAAGUCCUGGAGGGGACGACUGGCGUUUUCAGCAGCCCUUACUACCCAAACAUGUACCCGACCGACGUCACAUGCAGUUGGAGGAUUGUGGACCCACCCGGACACCAGAUGCUCCUGACAUUUGACCCCACUUUCAGCAUAGAAAAUUUGCCUGACCGGGUUGGCUGUAAUUUCGAUAUAUUGA